AUUGAACGCUGGCGGCAGGCCUAACACAUGCAAGUCGAACGAGUGGCGGACGGGUGAGUAAUGUCUGGGAAACUGCCUGAUGGAGGGGGAUAACUACUGUAACCGGUAGCUAAUACCGCAUACCAUCAGAUCUGCCCAGAGGGGAUUAGCUUGUUGGUGGGGUAACGGCUCACCAAGGCGACGAUCCCUAGCUGGUCUGAGAGGAUGACCAGCCACACUGGAACUGAGACACGGGCCAGACUCCUACGGGAGGCAGCAGUGGGGAAUAUUGCACAAUGGGCGAAAGCCUGAUGCAGCCAUGCCGCGUGUAUGAAGAAGGCCUUCGGGUUGUAAAGUACUGUCAGCGGAGAGGCGGUAUCCGAAGAAGAAGCACCGGCUAACUCCGUGCCAGCAGCCGCGGUAAUUC
rnacentral:rRNA from 1 species